CCCAAACAAUCAAAUGCAAAAUGGCUCCAUAGCGCCCCCUAAGGUGAAAAAUUCACAUGAUUGAGUGUCACGCCUGUGCGCUUUGUCAAAAUGACACAAAAUUUGACACACACGUGUAUCUCAAUAAGAUCUACAAAAAAGUCAGCGCGGGCGUAUCUGUCAAAUGUAUGGUUAAAGGGCUAUUUCGCAUUUUUUGCCGAUCCGCACACAUUGGAAUUUCGCUAACUCCUCCGAAGGCUUUCGUUCCACCGGCACCAAAUUUGCUCAGGCCAAUCUACACCCCAUGGCCAUUAAAAAUUGUACAAAUCAUGACGCUGCACCCCACGGUUUACGUUCUAGGGGGCGCCAAAGAUAACCCAAAAAUCCACAUUCUUAAAAGUCUAAUAACUUUUUAUUUUUGUCCUCACUGGCCUCCAAGUUUUCUAGGAUGAUGCAAUGUCCAGCCAUCAACACAUUUGUGAAGGAAUUUUUACUCCCCAAAAGAGCGCCCCCCCCAUGGCAGGAGAAAAAAGUCCAUUUUUUUCUUGUCCCCUAAGGUGAAAAUACAUAUUGUUGAGUGUCACGCCUAUACGCUUUGUCAUAUUGACACAAAAUUUGACACACACGUGUAUCUCAAUAAGAUCUACAAAAAAGUCAGCGCGGGCGUAUCUGUCAAAUGUACGGUUAAAGGGCUAUUUCGCAUUUUUUGCCGAUCCGCACACAUUGGAAUUUCGCUAACUCCUCCGAAGGCUUUCGUUCCACUGGCACCACAUUUGCUCAGGCCAAUCUACACCCCAUGGCCAUUAAAAGUUGUACAAAUCAUGACGCUGCACCCCACGGUUUAGGUUCUAGGGGGCGCCAAAGAUAACCCAAAAAUCCACAUUCUUAAAAGUCUUAUAACUUUUUAUUUUUGUCCUCACUGGCCUCCAAGUUUUCUAGGAUAAUGCAAUGUCCAGCCAUCAACACAUUUGUGAAGGAAUUUUUACUCCCCAAAAGAGCGCCCCCCCAUGGCAGGAGAAAAAAGUCCAUUUUUUCUUGUCCCCUUACAUGAAAAUACACAUUGUUGAGUGUCACGCCUGAACGCUUUGUCAUAUUGACACAAAAAUUGACAAUCAUGUGUAUCUCAAUUAGAUCUACGAAAAAGUCAAAGAGCGCGUAUCUGUAUAAUGUACGGUAAAAGGGCUAUUUUGCAUUUUUUGCAGAUUCGCACACAUUGGAAUUUCGCUAAUUCCUCCUAAGGCUUUCGUCCCACUGACACCAAAUUUGCUCAGGCCAAUCUACAACCCAUGGCCAUUCACAGUUGUAAAAAUCAUGACGCUGCACCCCACGGUUUACGUUCUAGGGGGCGCCAAAGAUGACCCAAAUAUACAUUACAGCAGACAAAGUAGUUUUGGCCACUGAGUGGCGCCAAAGGGACUUGUCUAUGGAGUCUGGGAGUCACUAUUGGCCGUUUUUGACUACUUUAGAUUUUACCUUUAUAUUUCCUCUUAAAAAUUUUCUACCUUGCCUUGCCUGGUAUCAUUUUUUUCAGCACAACCUCACCUGUGUGAAUUUACAGUUAUUUUAUCAUUUUGACAUACUGUUUUUACACAAUGGACCCAAAUUCACACACAAAACAUAAAAUCCGAGUGGAAAAAAGUAACAUUUUUACUGUGAAAACCACAAAUAUGUUUGAUGAACUGUUUUUAAAACUUUAACUUCAAAUACAAAUUGUAAACUUCAAAAAAUAUGCAAAUUUUUAACAAAGAACAUAGUAAUUUACCUCUAUUUACAUCAAAAUGCAGGCAAUGGCCCAGGCGUUCUUUGUAAAAUUAUUUACAAAACAUUAUAUAGUCUCACAAAUGUCACUUUUUAUUUAUGCCACUACAAAAAAACAUGAUGUAAAUGAUGCAUGAUGUAAAACAUGAUGUAAAAAACUUUUGUGUAGAUGCUCCUCUAUGUCAGUCCAUGUGUAAUUUUUCCAUAAUUCUUUGUUUUUUGCAGCAUUUUUGUUAGUGAAACUGCAGAUUGUGCUGACAGUGUCUAUGGCAAAAAAAAAAAAAAAAAAAAUUAAAAUGCCUCAUCAUGAACCCCUGGUGGUCUCUGAGGGUGAAACCUGCUAACUGCUGCAGCUCUGUCAGCUUCAGUCUCCCAUGCAGAGCUCUGAGCGCAUGUGUGGCUCUGCACCCUUAGCAGCAUUGCUAACUCCUCAGUAAGGAAAGCCUGCUUCAUGUCAGAGUCUCUAAACUCCAGAAGAAGUCGAUAAAAGUCCCUUUCUUUCUAAAAAAAAAAGGCGUUAGGGGGUCUGAAAAGUCAUUGAAUCUAACAACAAAGUCGCUAGGUUUGCAACUACGUGUCCCAGACUGCAUCCCUGCUGAGAGUCCCUCCCUCCCUUCUCAUGUUGCAGGAAGAACGUAAGCACCCGCCCCUUGUCAAUCAGUCACCAUAUAAUUUUGGAUUGGUUGUUGUGGUAAAGUUUUCCACCAAUAGGAGAGAUGUUGUGGUGUGUUUUUUUUUCUUUUGGCAAGCCUUUUCCGCCUGUAAGACCUGUCGCUAAUGUCUGCAUGCUAUGUUUUCGUGUCUCAUACAGCGCGAUCGAACGCCGAACGUGAUCGAAAUAAGCAGAAAAAAAGUAUCGCAGACAUAAUUUAUCAUAACUCUGGUUUUAUUUGGCCUAGCAAGACAAUUUAAAAACUGGUAUAUAGUUUGAGGUCCUCACUUUGGAGAUAAGUUGAAACGGAGAGUCAACGAGGCUCCGUCUUGCAGCUACAUCCGGUUAAAUAUGUCAUGUGACUUGAACGCUGGGGAGCGUCAAUCGACUGCAGAGCCAGCAGACAAAGUUGUUAUGGCCACUGAGAGGCACACAUUUUAUCAUAUGCUAUAAUCCGAACAUAUUUUAAUGCUUUUUCUAUUUAAACCUAAUGGAUCUAAGGUUUGACCUUCAAAAUUUAGGAAGAAUAUGUUUCUGCAGUAAUGACCCCCUUAAACAACCAGAGGUCCUUUCCUAAAGUUUAUGGAAAUUUUAGUGAAGGCCUUGGUUUCUGUCCUUGCAAAAUGUAUAGAAAUAAUAAAGCUAAAUACCAUAAAAUGGUCUUGGCGUAUUAGCAGUGAUAUAAAAUAGUGGUUUGAAUAUGAAUGAACAACAAAAAAAAAAACAUCAACAGAGCCUUUUUGAGUUGGGAUUCUUUCAUUAUCACACAAAAACAGACAUAGACAGACAUCUAAAGGGUAAGGGAAUGAUCAGCCCUCCUAACUCUCAGAAGAAUCUUCAAAAUUCACCUCAGAAAUAUGCUUAUUAUUCUUCUCAGAGUAUUGCAGGAUACACACACACACACACACACACACACUCACAGUCUUUUUUUUAGCACCUGCAAAAACAUGCUAUUUACAUAUUUGAAAAGAAUGCAGAGGCCCCUUUUUGCCCCUGGAAAAAAUCAAAUUUCAAACACAACUUGACUGCUCAUUUCUCCAAAAGACAACCAUGAAGCUCCAUCCAAACCUGAAGCAGGCAGUUGGUGCAUGUGUACAGUAACCCGAGGGGAGUGAGGUGACUGCUUCUGAGGAGAACAUGAGCAGUGAAGAUUCACCUUGGAGCUAGAACAGGGAUGUGCACAUGAUUAUACAGGGGCAGGGGCUCAAGUUUUUUCCAGUCAUUUAUGCAAUAUGGAAAUUAAUGUGAAAUUAAAAAACAAAGUAUUAAUAGAAAGGUUAUGACUGUCCUGUGUAGAUGACAGUGAUAUCCAAUAGGCUAGGCACUCACGAGGCUGGCUGUGGCAAGUGUAAGUGAAAGCAACACGCACUGGCAGGAAGAAAAGCAAACGCCGAUGAAGGAAAGGGUCUUUGCAGUGAUGGGCGUUACCAGAGAGGGCGAUGGCCAGAGGACGCGAAUGGGACGGGGAGGCAGCGCGUUGGGGGGGGCGGCGCGACACGGCUCGGGCCCGCCAGUGCCCCAACGGGGCCCUAGUUAGGGCCCGAGCGUAGCUGCUAAGCAGCUGCGAGAGCCCUGUUGUUCCUGUAUAGGUUUUUCUUUGUUUUUAGGGCCCGAGCCAGCUGCAGAGCAGCCGGGUGUAGAGCCCUAUUAUUCCUGUAUAGGUUUUUCUUUCUUCUUUCUUUCUUUCUUUCUUCUUAUUUUUCCUGACACAAUGACACAAAAAUUGACACACACAUGUAUCUCAAUAAGAUCUACAAAAAAGUCAGUGCGGGCGUAUCUGUCAAAUGUACGGUUAAAGGGUUAUUUCGCAUUUUUUGCCGAUCCGCACACAUUGGAAUUUCGCUAACUCCUCCGAAGGCUUUCGUUCCACUGGCACCACAUUUGCUCAGGCCAAUCUACACCCCAUGGCCAUUCAAAGUUGUACAAAUCAUGAUGCUGCACCCCACGGUUUACAUUCUAGGGGGCGCCAAAUAUAACCCAAAAAUCCACAGUCUUAAAAGUCUUAACUUUUUAUUUUUGUCCUCACUGGCCUCCAAGUUCUCUAGGAUGAUGCAAUGUCCAGCCAUCAACACAUUUGUGAAGGAAUUUUUACUCGCCAAAAGAGCGCCCCCCCCCCAUGGCAGGAGAAAAAAGUCCAUUUUUUCUUGUCUCCUAAGGCGAAAAUACACAUUGUUGACUGUCACACCUUUACGCUUUGUCAAAAUGACACAAAAUUUGACACACACAUGUAUCUCAAUAAGAUCUACGAAAAAGUCAAUGCGAGCGUAUCUGUUCAAUGUACGGUUAAAGGGCUAUUUCGCAUUUUUUGCCGAUUCGCACACAUUGGAAUGUGGCUAACUCCUCCUGAAGCUUUUGUCCCAUCGGCUUCAAAUUUGCUCAGGUCAAUCUACACCCCAUGGCCAUUAAAAGUUGUACAAAUCAUGAUGCUGCACCCCACGGUUUACGUUCUAGGGGGCGCCAAAGAUAACCCAAAUAUCCACAGUCUUAAAAGUCUUAUAACUUUUUAUUUUUGUCCUCACUGGCCUCCAAGUUCUCUAGGAUGAUGCAAUGUCCAGCCAUCAACACAUUUGUGAAGGAAUUUUUACUCGCCAAAAGAGCGCCCCCCCAUGGCAGGAGAAAAAAGUUCAUUUUUUCUUGUCUCCUAAGGCGAAAAUACACAUUGUUGACUGUCACGCCUUUACGCUUUGUCAAAAUGACACAAAAUUUGACACACACAUGUAUCUCAAUAAGAUCUACAAAAAAGUCAGUGCGGGCGUAUCUGUCAAAUGUACGGUUAAAGGGUUAUUUCGCAUUUUUUGCCGAUCCGCACACAUUGGAAUGUGGCUAACUCCUCCGAAGGCUUUCGUUCCACUGGCACCACAUUUGCUCAGGCCAAUCUACACCCCAUGGCCAUUAAAAGUUGUACAAAUCAUGACGCUGCACCCCACGGUUUACGUUCUAGGGGGCGCCAAAGAUAACCCAAAAAUCCACAGUCUUAAAAGUCUUAUAACUUUUUAUUUUUGUCCUCACUGGCCUCCAAGUUCUCUAGGAUGAUGCAAUGUCCAGCCAUCAACACAUUUGUGAAGGAAUUUUUACUCGCCAAAAGAGCGCCCCCCCAUGGCAGGAGAAAAAGUCAAGUUUUUCCUGCCCAUCGCUCAAUGGCUCAAACGCAUCGCUCUCUCGGCAAAACCGAAAGGAGGAGCAACUUGCCAUUUGGAUAUAUACUAGCUGUGUUUGUGCCCUCACUCAUGGUCCAGACUUUUUUCAAAAAGGACAUGGAGUUUGUCUGCAGCAAGCGUUUUGGUAGAAACUGCGCCUCCCAUUCAUUAUAAUGGUAAAUGACCACAGACAAGUGCGCACACCAUCUUUGGACCUUGAGUGUGACGCGAUCGGGAGGGGUAGGCGGUCGCGCUGGGGGUGGCGCGACACGGCUCAGGCCCGCCAGUGCCCCAACGGGGCCCUAGUUAGGGCCCGGGCCAGCUGCAGAGCAGCCGGGCGUAGAGCCCUAUUAUUUCUGUAUAGGUUUUUCUUUCUUCUUUCUUUCUUUCUUUCUUCUUAUUUUUCCUCCCCUUUGAACUGGAAAAUGGCCCACUUCCCACUGGCGAAAACUCAUGAAAUUUGGCAGGACGACCGGGCCUGGUGAAAAAAUUGAUAUUCUGAAGUCACCCAAACAAUAAAAUGCAAAAUGGCUCCAUAGCGCCCCCUAAGGUGAAAAUUCACACUAUUGACUGUCACGCCUGUACGCUUUGUCAAAAUGACACAAAAAUUGACACACACAUGUAUCUCAAUAAGAUCUACAAAAAAGUCAGUGCGGGCGUAUCUGUCAAAUGUACGGUUAAAGGGUUAUUUCGCAUUUUUUGCCGAUCCGCACACAUUGGAAUUUCGCUAACUCCUCCGAAGGCUUUCGUUCCACUGGCACCACAUUUGCUCAGGCCAAUCUACACCCCAUGGCCAUUCAAAGUUGUACAAAUCAUGAUGCUGCACCCCACGGUUUACAUUCUAGGGGGCGCCAAAUAUAACCCAAAAAUCCACAGUCUUAAAAGUCUUAACUUUUUAUUUUUGUCCUCACUGGCCUCCAAGUUCUCUAGGAUGAUGCAAUGUCCAGCCAUCAACACAUUUGUGAAGGAAUUUUUACUCGCCAAAAGAGCGCCCAUGGCAGGAGAAAAAAGUCCAUUUUUUCUUGUCUCCUAAGGCGAAAAUACACAUUGUUGACUGUCACACCUUUACGCUUUGUCAAAAUGACACAAAAUUUGACACACACAUGUAUCUCAAUAAGAUCUACGAAAAAGUCAAUGCGAGCGUAUCUGUUCAAUGUACGGUUAAAGGGCUAUUUCGCAUUUUUUGCCGAUUCGCACACAUUGGAAUGUGGCUAACUCCUCCUGAAGCUUUUGUCCCAUCGGCUUCAAAUUUGCUCAGGUCAAUCUACACCCCAUGGCCAUUAAAAGUUGUACAAAUCAUGACGCUGCACCCCACGGUUUACGUUCUAGGGGGCGCCAAAGAGGACCCAAAUAUCCACAUUUUUAAAAGUCUUAUAACUUUUUAUUUUUGUCCUCACUGGCCUCCAAGUUUUCUAGGAUGAUGCAAUGUCCAGCCAUCAACACAUUUGUGAAGGAAUUUUUUCUCCCCAAAAGAGCGCCCCCCCAUGGCAGGAGAAAAAGUCAAGUUUUUCCUGCCCAUCGCUCAAUGGCUCAAACGCAUCGCUCUCUCGGCAAAACCGAAAGGAGGAGCAACUUGCCAUUUGGAUAUAUACUAGCUGUGUUUGUGCCCUCACUCAUGGUCCAGACUUUUUUCAAAAAGGACAUGGAGUUUGUCUGCAGCGAGCGUUUUGGUAGAAACAGCGCCUCCCAUUCAUUAUAAUGGUAAAUGACCACAGACAAGUGCGCACACCAUCUUUGGACCUUGAGUGUGACGCGAUCGGGAGGGGUAGGCGGUCGCGCUGGGGGCGGCGCGACACGGCUCGGGCCCGCCAGUGCCCCAACGGGGCCCUAGUUAGGGCCCGAGCGUAGCUGCUAAGCAGCUGCGAGAGCCCUGUUGUUCCUGUAUAGGUUUUUCUUUGUUUUUAGGGCCCGAGCCAGCUGCAGAGCAGCCGGGCGUAGAGCCCUAUUAUUCCUGUAUAGGUUUUUCUUUCUUCUUUCAUUUUCUUUCUUCUUAUUUUUCCUCCCCUUUGAAGGGGAAAAUGGCCCACUUCCCACUGGCGAAAACUCAUGAAAUUUGGCAGGACGACCGGGCCUGGUGAAAAAUUCGAUAUUCUGAAGUUGCCCAAACAAUAAAAUGCAAAAUGGCUCCAUAGCGCCCCCUAAGGUGAAAAUUCACACUAUUGAGUGUCACACCUGUACGCUUUGUCAUAUUGACACAAAAAUUGACACACACGUCUAUCUCAAUAAGAUCUACAAAAAAGUCAAUGCGGGCGUAUCUGUCAAAUGUACGGUAAAAGGGCUAUUUCGCAUUUUUUGGCGAUCCGUACACAUUGGAAUUUCGCUAACUCCUCCGAAGGCUUUCGUUCCACCGGCACCACAUUUGCUCAGGCCAAUCUUCACUCCAUGGCCAUUCAAAGUUGUACAAAUCAUGAUGCUGCACCCCAUGGUUUAGGUUCUAGAGGGCGCCAAAAAUAACCCAAAAAUCCACAUUCUUAAAAGUUUUAUAACUUUUUAUUUUUGUCCUCACUGGCCUCCAAGUUUUCUAGGAUGAUGCAAUGUCCAGCCAUCAACACAUUUGUGAAGGAAUUUUGACUCCCCAAAAGAGCGCCCCCCCAUGGCAGGACAAAAAAGUCAAUUUUUUCUUGUCCCCUAAGGUGAAAAUACACAUUGUUGAGAUUCACGCCUGUACGCUUUGUCAUAUUGACAAAAAAUUUGACACACACGUGUAUCUCAAUAAGAUCUACGAAUAAGUCAAUGGGCACGUAUCUGUAAAAUGUACGGUUAAAGGGCUAUUUUGCAUUUUUUGCCCAUUCGCACACAUUGGAAUGUGGCUAACUCCUCCUAAGGCUUUCGUCCCACUGACACCAAAUUUGCUCAUGCCAAUCUACACCCCAUGGCCAUUAAAAGUUGUAAAAAUCAUGCCGCUGCACCCCAUGGUUUACGUUCUAGGGGGCGCCAAAGAUGACCCAAAAAUCCACAUUCUUAAAAGUCGUUUUGGCCACUGCAGGAGUACAGAGUACUGCAGGAUACACACACACACACACACACACACACACACACACACACACACACACACACACACACACACACACACGCACACGCACACACACACACAGCGUCUUUUUUUUAGCACCUGCAAAAACAUGCUAUUUACAUAUUUGAAAACAAUGCAGAGGCUUCCUUUUGCCCCUGAAAAAAAUGAAAUUUCAAACACAACUUGACUGCUCAUUUCUCCAAAAGACAACCAUGAAGCUCCAUCCAAACCUGAAGCAAGCAGUUGGUGCAUGUGUACAGUAACCUGAGGGGAGUGAGGUGACUGCUUCUGAGGAGAACAUGAGCAGUGAAGAUUCACCUUGGAGCGAGAACAGGGACGUGCACAUGAUUAUACAGGGGCAGGGGCUCAAGUUUUUUCCAGUCGUUUAUACAAUAUGGAAAUUAUUGUGAAAUUAAAAAACUAUGUCAGUCCAUGUGUAAUUUUUCCAUAAUUCUUUGUUUUUUGCAGCAUUUUUGUUAGUGUAACUGCAGAUUGUGCUGACAGUGUCUAUGGCACAAAAAAAAAAAAUUAAAAUGCCUCAACAUGAACCCCUGGUGGUCUCUGAGGGUGAAACCUGCUAACUGCUGCAGCUCUGUCAGCUUCAGUCUCCCAUGCAGAGCUCGGAGCGCAUGUGUGGCUCUGCACCCUUAGCAGCAUUGCUAACUCCUCAGUAAGGAAAGCCUGCUUCAUGUCAGAGUCUCUAAACUCCAGAAGAAGUCGAUAAAAGUCCCUUUCUUUCUAAAAAAAAGUCGUUAGGGGGUCUGAAAAGUCAUUGAAUCUAACAACAAAGUCGCUAGGUUUGCAACUACGUGUCCCAGACUGCAUCCCUGCUGAGAGUCCCUCCCUCCCUUCUCAUGUUGCAGGAAGAACGUAAGCGCCCGCCCCUUGUCAAUCAGUCACCAUAUAAUUUUGGAUUGGUUGUUGUGGUGAAGUUUUCCACCAAUAGGAGAGAUGUUGUGGUGUGUUUUUUUUUUCUUUUGGCAAGCCUUUUCCGCCUGUAAGACCUGUCGCUAAUGUCUGCAUGCUAUGUUUUCCUGUCUCAUACAGCGCGAUCGAGCGCCGAACGUGAUCAAAAUAAGCAGAAAAAAAGUAUCGCGGACAUAAUUUAUCAUAACUCUGGUUUUAUUUGGCCUAUCAACACAAUUUAAAAACUGGUAUAUAGGUUGAGGUCCUCACUUUUGAGAUAAGUUGAAACGGAGAGUCAACGAGGCUCCGUCUUGCAGCUACAUCCGGUUAAAUAUGUCAUGUGACUUGAACGCACACACAGACACACACACACACACACGCACACACACACACUCAGAGUCUGGUUUUUAGCACCUGCAAAAACAUGCUAUUUACAUAUUUGACAAGAAUGCAGAGGCUCCUUUUGCCCCUGAAAAAAAUCAAAUUUCAAACACAACUUGACUGCUCAUUUCUCCAAAAGACAACCAUGAAGCUCCAUCCAAACCUGAAGCAGGCAGUUGGUGCAUGUGUACAGUAACCUGAGGGGAGUGAGGUGAGUGCUUCUGAGGAGAACAUGAGCAGUGAAGAUUCACCUUGGAGCUAGAACAGAGACAUGCACAUGAUUAUACAGGGGCAGGGGCUCAAGUUUUUUCCAGUCGUUUAUACAAUAGGGAAAUUAAUGUGAAAUUAAAACACAAAGUAUUAAUAGAAAGGUAAUGACUGUCCUGUGUAGGUGACAGUGAUAUCCAAUAGGCUAGGCACUCACGAGGCUGGCUGUGGCAAGUGUAAGUGAAAGCAACACGCACUGGCAGGAAGAACAGCAAACGCCGAUGAAGGAAAAGGGUCUUUGCAGUGAUGGGCGUUACCAGAGAGGGCGAUGGCCAGAGGACACAAAUGGGACGGGAAGGCAGCACGUUGGGGGGGGGGGGGGGACGCGACACGGCUCGGGCCCGCCAGUGCCCCAACGGGGUCCUAGUUAGGGCCCGAGCGUAGCUGCUAAGCAGCUGCGAGAGCCCUCUUGUUCCUGAUGGAUUCUUCUUUUGUUAGGGCCCGAGCGUAGCUGCUAAGCAGGUGCGAGAGCCCUCUUGUUAUUAUUAGGGCCCGAGCGUAGCUGCUAAGCAGCUGCGAGAGCCCUCUUGUUCCUGCAUGUUUCCUUCUUUCGUUAGGGCCCGAGCCAGCUGCAGAGCAGCCGGGCGUAGAGCCCUAUUAUUCCUGAUGAGUUUUUCUUUCUUCUUUCUUUCUUUCUUUCUUUCUUUCUUCUUAUUUUUCCUCCCCUUUGAAGGGGAAAAUGGCCCACUUCCCACUGGCGAAAACUCAUGACAUUUGGCAGGAUGACCGGGCCUGGUGAAAAAUUCGAUAUUCUGAAGUCGCCCAAACAAUAAAAUGCAAAAUGGCUCCAUAGCGCCCCCUAAGGUGGAAAUUCACACUAUUGACUGUCACGCCUGUACGCUUUGUCAUAUUGACACAAAAAUUGACACACACAUGUAUCUCAAUACGAUCUACAAAAAAGUCAGUGUGGGCGUAUCUGUCAAAUGUACGGUUAAAGGGUUAUUUCGCAUUUUUUGCCGAUCCGCACACAUUGGAAUUUCGCUAACUCCUCCGAAGGCUUUCGUUCCACCGGCACCAAAUUUGCUCAGGCCAAUCUACACCCCAUGGCCAUUAAAAGUUGUACAAAUCAUGACGCUGCACCCCACGGUUUAGGUUCUAGGGGGCGCCAAAGAUAACCCAAAAAUCCACAUUCUUAAAAGUCUUAUAACUUUUUAUUUUUGUCCUCACUGGCCUCCAAGUUCUCUAGGAUGAUGCAAUGUCCAGCAAUUAACACAUUUGUGAAGGAAUUUUUACUCCCCAAAAGAGCGCCCCCCCAUGGCAGGAGAAAAAAGUCCAUUUUUUUCUUGUCCCCUAAGGCGAAAAUACACAUUGUUGAGUGUCACGCCUGUACGCUUUUUCAUAUUGACACAAAAUUUGACAAUCACGUGUAUCUCAAUAAGAUCUACGAAAAAGUCAAUGUGCACGUAUCUGUAAAAUGUACGGUUAAAGGGCUAUUUCGCAUUUUUUGCCGAUUCGCACACAUUGGAAUGAUGGUAACUCCUCCUAAGGCUUUCGUUCCACUGACACCAAAUUUGCUCAGGCCAAUCUACACCCCAUGGCCAUUCAAAGUUGUAAAAAUCAUGACGCUGCACCCCACGGUUUACGUUCUAGGGGGCGCCAAAGAGGACCCAAAUAUCCACAUUUUUAAAAGUCUUAUAACUUUAUUUUUGUCCUCACUGGCCUCCAAGUUUUCUAGGAUGAUGCAAUGUUCAGUCAUCAACACAUUUGUGAAGGAAUUUUUUCUCCCCAAAAGAGCGCCCUCCCAUGGCAGGAGAAAAAGUCAAGUUUUUCCUGCCCAUCGCUCAAUGGCUCAAACGCAUCGCUCUCUCGGCAAAACCGAAAGGAGGAGCACCUUGCCAUUUGGAUAUAUACUAGCUGUGUUUGUGCCCUCACUCAUGGUCCAGACUUUUUUCAAAAAGGACAUGGAGUUUGUCUGCAACGAGCGUUUUGGUAGAAACUGCGCCUCCCAUUCAUUAUAAUGGUAAAUGACCACAGACAAGUGCGCACACCAUCUUUGGACCUUGAGUGUGACGGGAUCGGGAGGGGUAGGCGGUCGCGCUGGGGGCGGCGCGACACAGCUCGGGCCCGCCAGUGUCCCAACGGGGCCCUAGUUAUUAUUAUUUUUCCUCCCCUUUGAACUGGAAAAUGGCCCACUUCCCACUGGCGAAAACUCAUGAAAUUUGGCAGGACGACCGGGCCUGGUGAAAAAUUUGAUAUUCCGAAGUCGCCCAAACAAGAAAAUGCAAAAUGGCUCCAUAGCGCCCCCUAAGGUGAAAAUUCACACUAUUGACUGUCACGCGUGUACGCUUUGUCAAAAUGACACAAAAAUUGACACACACAUGUAUCUCAAUAAGAUCUACAAAAAAGUCAGUGCGGGCGUAUCUGUCAAAUGUACGGUUAAAGGGUUAUUUCGCAUUUUUUGCCGAUCCGCACACAUUGGAAUUUCGCUAACUCCUCUGAAGGCUUUCGUUCCACCGGCACCACAUUUGCUCAGGCCAAUCUACACCCCAUGGCCAUUAAAAGUUAUUCAAAUCAUGACGCUGCACCCCACGGUUUAGGUUCUAGGGGGCGCCAAAGAAAACCCUAAGAUCCACAUAUUUAAAAGUCUUAUAACUUUUUAUUUUUGCCCUCACUGGCCUCCAAGUUUUCUAGGAUGAUGCAAUGUCCAGCCAUCAACACAUUUGUGAAGGAAUUUUUACUCCCCAAAAGAGCGCCCCCCCAUGGCAGGAGAAAAAAGUCCAUUUUUUCUUGUCCCCUAAGGUGAAAAUACACAUUGUUGAGUGUAACACCUGUACGCUUUGUCAAAAUGAUACAAAAAUUGACACACACAUGUAUCUCAAUAAGAUCUACGAAAAAGUCAAUGCGUGCGUAUCUGUCAAAUGUACGGUUAAAGGGUUAUUCCGCAUUUUUUGCCGAUCCGCACACAUUGGAAUUUCGCUAACUCCUCCGAAGGCUUUCGUUCCACCGGCACCACAUUUGCUCAGGCCAAUCUACACCCCAUGGCCAUUAAAAGUUAUUCAAAUCAUGACGCUGCACCCCACGGUUUAGGUUCUAGGGGGCGCCAAAGAUAACCCUAAAAUCCACAUAUUUAAAAGUCUUAUAACUUUUUAUUUUUGUCCUCACUGGCCUCCAAGUUUUCUAGGAUGAUGCAAUGUCCAGCCAUCAACACAUUUGUGAAGGAAUUUUUACUCCCCAAAAGAGCCCCCCCCCAUGGCAGGAGAAAAAAGUCAAUUUUUUCUUGUCCCCUAAGGUGGAAAUUCACACUAUUGACUGUCACGCCUGUACGCUUUAUCAUAUUGACACAAAAAUUGACACACAUAUGUAUCUCAAUAAGAUCUACAAAAAAGUCAAUGCGCGCGUAUCUGUCAAAUGUACGGUUUAAGGGCUAUUUUGCAUUUUUUGCCGAUUCGCACACAUUGGAAUGUGGCUAACUCCUCCUAAGGCUUUCGUCCCACUGACACCAAAUUUGCUCAGGCCAAUCUACACCCCAUGGCCAUUCAAAGUUGUAAAAAUCAUGACGCUGCACCCCACGGUUUACGUUCUAGGGGGCGCCAAAGAUGACCCAAAUAUCCAAAUUCUUAAAAGAAUCCACAUCCCCCCCCCAUCCCCCACCCCCCAUGGCAGGAGAAACAGUCAAGUUUUUCCUGCCCAUCACUCAAUGGCUCAAUCGCAUCGCUCUCCCGGCAACACCGUAAUGAGGAGCAACUUGCCGUUUGGAUAUAUCCUAGCUGUGUUUGUGCCCUCACUCAUGGUCCAGACUUUUUUCAAAUAGGACAUGUAGUUUGUCUGCAGCGAGUGUUUUGGUAGAAACUGCGCCUCCCAUUCAUUAUAAUGGGAAAUGACCACAGACAAGUGCGCACACCAUCUUUGGACCUUGAGUGUGACGCGAUCGGGACAGUGCCCCACCGGGGCCCUAGUUAUUAUUUUUCCUCCGCUUUAAACUGGAAAAUGGCCCACUUCCCACUGGCGAAAACUCAGGAAAUUUGGCAGGACGACCGGGCCUGGUGAAAAAUUCGAUAUUCUGAAGUCGCCUAAACAAUAAAAUGCAAAAUGGCUCCAUAGCGCCCCCUAAGGUGAAAAUUCACAUGACGGCUGUACGCUUUGUCAUAUUGACACAAAAAUUGACACACACAUGUAUCUCAAUAAGAUCUACAAAAAAGUCAGUGCGGGCGUAUCUGUCAAAUGUACGGUUAAUGGGUUAUUUUGCAUUUUUUGCAGAUCUGCACACAUUGGAAUUUCGCUAACUCCUCCGAAGGCUUUCGUUCGACCGGCACCACAUUUGCGCAGGCCAAUCUACCCCCCAUGGCCAUUAAAAGUUGUACAAAUCAUGACGCAAAUGACACAAGUCUUAUAACGUUCUAGGGGGCGCCAAAGAUAACCCAAAAUCCACAUUCUUAAAAGUCUUAUAACUUUUUAUUUUUGUCCUCACUGCCCUCCAAGUUUUCUAGGAUGAUGCAAUGUCCAGCCAUCAACACAUUUGUGAAGGAAUUUUUACUCCCCAAAAGAGCGCCCCCCCAUGGCAGGAGAAAAAAGUCAAUUUUUUCUUGUCCCCUUACAUGAAAAUACACAUUGUUGAGUGUCACGCCUAAACGCUUUGUCAUAUUGACACAAAAAUUGACAAUCAUGUGUAUCUCAAUUAGAUCUACGAAAAAGUCAAAAAGCGCGUAUCUGUAUAAUGUACGGUUAAAGGGCUAUUUCGCAUUUUUUGCCGAUUCGCACACAUUGGAAUGUGGCUAUCUCCUCCUAAGGCUUUCGUCCCAUCGGCACCAAAUUUGCUCAAGCCGAUCUACAUCCCAUGGCCAUUCAAAGUUGUAAAAAUCAUGACGCUGCACCCCACGGUUUACGUUCUAGGGGGCACCAAAGAUGACCCAAAAAUCCACAUUCUUAAAAGUCAUUUUGGCCACUGCAGGAGUACAGAGUACUGCAGUUCUAGGGGGCGCCAAAGAUGACCCAAAAAUCCACAUUCUUAAAAGUCUUUUUGGCCACUGCAGGAGUACAGAGUACUGCAGGAUACACACACAUACACACACACACACACACACACACACACACACACACACACACACACACACACACACUCAGAGUCUGUUUUUUAGCACCUGCAAAAACAUGCUGUUUACAUAUUUGACAAGAAUGCAGAGGCUUCCUUUUGCCCCUGAAAAAAAUCAGAUUUCAAACACAACUUGACUGUUCAUUUCUCCAAAAGACAACCAUGAAGCUCCAUCCAAACCUGAAGCAGAUAGUUGGUGCAUGUGUACAGUAACCUGAGGGGAGUGAGGUGACUAUUUCUGAGGAGAACAUGAGCAGUGAAGAUUCACCUUGGAGCUAGAACAGGGACGUGCACAUGAUUAUACAGGGGCAGGGGCUCAAGUUUUUUCCAGUCAUUUAUACAAUAUGGAAAUUAAUGUGAAAUUAAAACACAAAUAUGUGUGAUGAACUGUUUUUAAAACUUAAACUUCAAAUAAAAAUUGUAAACUUCAAAACAUAUGCAAAUUUUUAACAAAGAACAUAGUUAUUUACCUCUAUUUACAUCAAAAUGCAGGCAAUGGCCCAGGCGUUCUUUGUAAAAUUAUUUACAAAACACUGUAUAGUCUCACAAAUGUCACUUUUUAUUUAUGCCACUACAAAAAAACAUGAUGUAAAUGAUGCAUGAUGUAAAACAUGAUGUAAAAAACUUGUGUAGAUCCUCCUCUAUGUCAGUCCAUGUGUAAUUUUUCCAUAAUUCUUUGUUUUUUGCAGCAUUUUUGUUAGUGUAACUGCAGAUUGUGCUGACAGUCUAUGGCAAAAAAAAACCAAAAACUGAAAAUGCCUCAACAUGAACCCCUGGUGGUCUCUGAGGGUGAAACCUGCUAACUGCUGCAGCUCUGUCAGCUUCAGUCUCCCAUGCAGAGCUCGGAGCGCAUGUGUGGCUCUGCACCCUUAGCAGCGUUGCUAACUCCUCAGUAAGGAAAGCCUGCUUCAUGUCAGAGUCUCUAAACUCCAGAAGAAGUCGAUAAAAGUCACUUUCUUUCUAAAAAAAAAGUCGUUAGGGGGUCUGAAAAGUCAUUGAAUCUAACAACAAAGUCGCUAGGUUUGCAACUACGUGUCCCAGACUGCAUCCCUGCUGAGAGUCCCUUCCUCCCUUCUCAUAUUGCAGGAAGAACGUAAGCGCCCGCCCCUUGUCAAUCAGUCACCAUAUAAUUUUGGAUUGGUUGUUGUGGUGAAGUUUUCCACCAAUAGGAGAGAUGUUGUGGUGUGUUUUUUUUUUCCUUUGGCAAGCCUUUUCCGCCUGUAAGACCUGUCGCUAAUGUCUGCAUGCUAUGUUUUCCUGUCGCAUACAGCGCGAUCGAGCGCCGAACGUGAUCAAAAUAAGCAGAAAACAAGUAUCGCGGGCAUAAUUUAUCAUAACUCUGGUUUUAUUUGGCCUAUCAACACAAUUUAAAAACUGGUAUAUAGGUUGAGGUCCUCACUUUUGAGAUAAGUUGAAACAGAGUCAACAAGGCUCCGUCUUGCAGCUACAUCCGGUUAAAUAUGUCAUGUGACUUGAACGCACACACACACACACACACACACACACAGACACACACACACACACACGCACACACACACACUCAGAGUCUGGUUUUUAGCACCUGCAAAAACAUGCUAUUUACAUAUUUGACAAGAAUGCAGAGGCUCCUUUUGCCCCUGAAAAAAAUCAAAUUUCAAACACAACUUGACUGGUCAUUUCUCCAAAAGACAACCAUGAAGCUCCAUCCAAACCUGAAGCAGGCAGUUGGUGCAUGUGUACAGUAACCUGAGGGGAGUGAGGUGACUGCUUCUGAGGAGAACAUGAGCAGUGAAGAUUCACCUUGGAGCUAGAACAGAGACAUGCACAUGAUUAUACAGGGGCAGGGGCUCAAGUUUUUUCCAGUCAUUUAUACAAUAUUGAAAUUAAUGUGAAAUUAAAAAACAAGUAUUAAUAGAAAGGUUAUGACUGUCCUGUGUAGAUGACAGUGAUAUCCAAUAGGCUAGGCACUCACGAGGCUGGCUGUGGCAAGUGUAAGUGAAAGCAACACGCACUGGCAGGAAGAACAGCAAACGCCGAUGAAGGAAAAGGGUCUUUGCAGUGAUGGGCGUUACCAGAGAGGGCGAUGGCCAGAGGACACAAAUGGGACGGGGAGGCAGCGCGUUGGGGGGGGGGCGCGACACAGCUCGGGCCCGCCAGUGCCCCAACGGGGUCCUAGUUAUUAUUAUUAUUAUUAGGGCCCGAGCGUAGCUGCUAAGCAGCUGCGAGAGCCCUAUUAUUCCUGAUGGAUUCUUCUUUCUUCUUCUUCUUCUUCUUCUUCUUUAGGGCCCGAGCGUAGCUGCUAAGCAGCUGCGAGAGCCCUCUUGUUCCUGAUGGAUUCUUCUUUUGUUAUUAUUAGGGCCCGAGCGUAGCUGCUAAGCAGCUGCGAGAGCCCUCUUGUUCCUGAUGGAUUCUUCUUUCGUUAUUUUUCCUCCGCUUUAAACUGGAAAAUGGCCCACUUCCCACUGGCGAAAACUCAGGAAAUUUGGCAGGAAGACCGGGCCUGGUGAAAAAUUCGAUAUUCUGAAGUCGCCCAAACAAUACAAUGCAAAAUGGCUCCAUAGCGCCCCCUAAGGUGAAAAUUCACAUGCGGGCUGUACGCUUUGUCAAAAUGACACAAAAAUUGACACACACAUGUAUCUCAAUAAGAUCUACAAAAAAGUCAGUGCGGGCGUAUCUGUCAAAUGUACGGUUAAAGGGUUAUUUCGCAUUUUUUGCAGAUCUGCACACAUUGGAAUUUCGCUAACUCCUCCGAAGGCUUUCGUUCCACCGGCACCACAUUUGCGCAGGCCAAUCUACCCCCCAUGGCCAUUAAAAGUUGUACAAAUCAUCUUGCUGCACCCCACGGUUUAGGUUCUAGGGGGCGCCAAAGAUAACCCAAAAAUCCAAAGUGUUAAAAGUCUUAUAACUUUUUAUUUUUCUCCAAACUGGCCUCCAAGUUUUCUAGGAUGAUGCAAUGUCCAGCCAUCAACACAUCUGUGAACAAAUUUUUACUCCCCAAAAGAGCGCCCCCCCAUGGCAGGAGAAAAAAGUCCAUUUUUUCUUGUCCCGUAAGGUGAAAAUACACAUUUUUGAGUGUCACCCCUGUACCCUUUGUCAUAUUGACACAAAAUUUGACAAUAACGUGUAUCUCAAUAAGAUCUACGAAAAAGUCAAAGGGCACAUAUCUGUCAAAUGUACGGUUAAAGGGCUAUUUUGCAUUUUUUGCCGAUUCGCACACAUUGGAAUUUCGCUAACUCCUCCGAAGGCUAUCUUUCUACCGGCACCAAAUUUGCUCAGGCCAAUCUACACCCCAUGGCCAUUAAAAGUUGUACAAAUCAUGACGCUGCCCUCCACGGUUUAGGUUCUAGGGGGCGCCAAAGAUAACCCAAAAAUCCACAUUCUUAAUAGUCUUAUAACUUUUUAGUUUUGUCCUCACUGGCCUCUAAGUUUUCUAGGAUGAUGCAAUGUCCAGCCAUCAACACAUUUGUAAAGGAAUUUUUACUCCCGAAAAGAGCGCCCCCCCCAUGGCAGGAGAAAAAAGUCCAUUUUUUCUUGUCCCCUAAGGUGAAAAAACACAUUGUUGACUGUCACGCCUAUACGCUUUGUCAAAAUGACACAAAAUUUGACACACACGUGUAUCUCAAUAAGAUCUACGAAAAAGUCAAUGGGCACGUAUCUGUAAAAUGUACGGUUAAAGGGCUAUUUCGCAUUUUUUGCCGAUUCGCACACAUUGGAAUGUGGCUAACUCCUCCUAAGGCUUUCGUCCCACCGACACCAAAUUUGCUCAGGCCAAUCUACAUCCCAUGGCCAUUCAAAGUUGUAAAAAUCAUGACGCUGCACCCCACGGUUUAUGUUCUAGGGGGCGCCAAAGAUGACCCAAAUAUCCACAUUUUUAAAAGUCUUAUAACUUUUUAUUUUUGUCCUCACUGGCCUCCAAGUUUUCUAGGAUGAUGCAAUGUGCAGCCAUCAACACAUCUGUGGAGGAAUUUUUUCUCCCCAAAAGAGCGCCCCCCCCCCCCCCCCCCCAUGGCAGGAGAAAAAGUCAAGUUUUUCCAGCCCAUCGCUUAAUGGCUCAAACGCAUUGCUCUCCCGCUAAAACCAAAAGGAGGAGCAACUUGCCAUUUGGAUAUGUCCUAGCUGUGUUUGUGCCCUCACUCAUGGUCCAGAGUUUUUUCAAAUAGGACAUGUAGUUUGUCUGCAGCGAGCGUUUUGGUAGAAACUGUGCCUCCCAUUCAUUAUAAUGGGAAAUGACCAAAGACAGGUGCGCACACCAUCUUUGGACCUUGACUUUGACGUCACAGUUUGAGAUACAAAUGUUAUUUGACCUCUGACCUUUGGUGGACACCCUAACCUUUCAACCCGCGAAAACGGCGUUUCAAUAGCUCUUACGGCUUUCCUACAAAUACACUUUGUUCAGCUACUCCUACUGUCCUUUAAGCUCUGCUUCUCAGAUCAUCAAAGAGUGUGCACGUGUGUAAUGAGCGCAUAUUGAAUGUUAAUUAUGUUAAAUAUGUUAAUUAUUAGAAGAAAAAACAACAACAGUCCUUUUGGACAAAAUUUCUUUUUAUUACAGAAUUAGAAUAAUGGAAGCAUAGUCCAAGGAAACCAUUCAAGUGAUGUCAUACCUCAUAAUUUAUUGAGAUGUUGGCUAGUCUGGGCAUUUCUUCAUUCAUCAGGUUUCCUGCAUGCAUACUAACAGAGCACAUCAGUAGCAGUGAGUGAUAAGUAUGAGUGUGUCAUUGUGUAAGAAAGAAAGUGGUUUACUUACACAUCCAUAGAAAAUAGGUGGUUGAGCACAGCACGCAAACAAAGCUUUGCCACAACGGUUGAACUUCCCAAGUAGCUGAUACCAAGGUCACACAAUCAUGGUGAGCAAAGGUCAAACCAGGCCAGGCACUCACGAGGCUGGCUGUGGCAAGUGUAAGUGAAAGCAACACGCAAUGGCAGGAAGAACAGCAAACACCGAUGAAGGAAAAGGGUCUUUGCAGUGAUGGGCGUCACCAGAGAGGGCGAUGGCCAGAGGGCACGAAUGGGACGGGGAGGCGGUCGCGCUGGGGGCGGCGCGACGCAGCUCGGGCCCGCCAGUGCCCCAACGGGGCCCUAGUUAUUAUUUUUCCUCCGCUUUAAACUGGAAAAUGGCCCACUUCCCACUGGCGAAAACUCAUGAAAUUUGGCAGGACGACCGGGCCUGGUGAAAAAUUCGAUAUUCUGAAGUCGCCCAAACAAUAAAAUGCAAAAUGGCUCCAUAGCGCCCCCUAAGGCGAAAAUUCACACUAUUGACUGUCACGCCUGUACGCUUUGUCAUAUUGACACAAAAAUUGACACACACGUGUAUCUCAAUACGGUCUACGAAAAAGUCAGCGCGGGCGCAUCUGUGAAAUGUACGGUUAGAGGGUUAUUUCGCAUUUUUUGCCGAUCUGCACACAUUGGAAUUUCGCUAACUCCUCCGAAGGCAUUCGUUCCACCGGCACCACAUUUGCUCAAGCCAAUCUACACCCCAUGGCCAUUAAAAGUUGUACAAAUCAUGACGCUGCACCCCACAGUUUACGUUCUAGGGGGCGCCAAAGAUAACCCAAAAAUCCACAGUCUUAAAAGUCUUAUAACUUUUUAUUUUUGUCCUCACUGGCCUCCAAGUUCUCUAGGAUGAUGCAAUGUCCAGCCAUCAACACAUUUGUGAAGGAAUUUUUACUCCCCAAAAGAGCGCCCCCACAUGGCAGGAGAAAAAAGUCCAUUUUUUCUUGUCCCCUAAGGUGAAAAUACACAUUGUUGAGUGUCACGCCUAUACGCUUUGUCAUAUUGACACAAAAUUUGACAAUCACGUGUAUCUCAAUAAGAUCUACGAAAAAGUCAAUGGGCACGUAUCUGUAAAAUGUACGGUUAAAGGGUUAUUUCGCAUUUUUUCCCGAUCCGCACACAUUGGAAUUUCACUAACUCCUCCGAAGGCUUUAGUUCCACCGCCACCAAAUUUGCUCAGGCCAAUCUACACCCCAUGGCCAUUAAAAGUUGUACAAAUCAUGACGUUGCACUCCACGGUUUAGGUUCUAGGGGGCGCCAAAGAUAACCCAAAAAUCCACAUUCUUAAUAGUCUUAUAACUUUUUAUUUUUGUCCUCACUGGCCUCCAAGUUUUCUAGGAUGAUGCAAUGUCCAGCCAUCAACACAUUUGUAAAGGAAUUUUUACUCCCGAAAAGAGCGCCCCCCCAUGGCAGGAGAAAAAAGUCCAUUUUUUCUUGUCCCCUAAGGUGAAAAAACACAUUGUUGACUGUCACGCCUAUACGCUUUGUCAAAAUGACACAAAAUUUGACACACACGUGUAUCUCAAUAAGAUCUACGAAAAAGUCAAUGGGCACGUAUCUGUAAAAUGUACGGUUAAAGGGCUAUUUCGCAUUUUUUGCAGAUCUGCACACAUUGGAAUGUGGCUAACUCCUCCUAAGGCUUUCUUCCCACCGACACCAAAUUUGCUCAAGCCGAUCUACAUCCCAUGGCCAUUCAAAGUUGUAAAAAUCAUGCCGCUGCACCCCAUGGUUUACGUUCUAGGGGGCGCCAAAGAUGACCCAAAUAUCCACAUUCUUAAAAGAAUCCACAUCCCCCCCCCCCCCCCCAAGGCAGGAGAAAAAGUCCAGUUAACCCUGCCCAUCGCUCAAUGGCUCAAUCGCAUCGCUCUCCUGGCAACACCGUAAGGAGGAGCAACUUGCCAUUUGGAUAUAUCCUAGCUGUGUUUGUGCCCUCACUCAUGGUCCAGACUUUUUUCAAAUAGGACAUGUAGUUUGUCUGCAGCGACCGUUUUGGUAGAAACUGCGCCUCCCAUUCAUUAUAAUGGGAAAUGACCACAGACAAGUGCGCACACCAUCUUUGGACCUUGAGUGUGAUGCGAUCGGGAGGGGCAACUUGCCAUUUGGAUAUAUCCUAGCUGUGUUUGUGCCCUCACUCAUGGUCCAGUCCUUUUCAAAUAGGACAUGUAGUUUGUCUGCGGCGAGCGUUUUGGUAGAAACUGCGCCUCCCAUUCAUUAUAAUUGUAAAUGACCACAGACAAGUGCGCACACCAUCUUUGGACCUUGAGUGUGAUGCGAUCGGGAGGGGGAGGCGGUCGCGCUGGGGGCGGCGCGACGCGGCUCGGGCCCGACAGUGCCCCACCGGGGCCCUAGUCUUAUUAUUAUUUUUCUGCCCCUUUGAACUGGAAAAUGGCCCACUUCCCACUGGUGAAAAGUCAUGAAAUUUGGCAGGACGACCGGGCCUGGUGAAAAAUUCGAUAUUCUGAAGUCGCCCAAAAAAUCAAAUGCAAAAUGGCUCCAUAGCGCCCCCUAAGGUGAAAAAUUCACAUGAUUGAGUGUCACGCCUGUACGCUUUGUCAAAAUGACACGAAAUUUGACACACACGUGUAUCUCAAUAAGAUCUACAAAAAAGUCAGUGCGGGCGUAUCUGUCAAAUGUACGGUUAAAGGGCUAUUUCGCAUUUUUUGCCGAUCCGCACACAUUGGAAUUUCGCUAACUCCUCCGAAGGCUUUCGUUCCACCGGCACCAAAUUUGCUCAGGCCAAUCUACACCCCAUGGCCAUUAAAAGUUGUACAAAUCAUGACGCUGCAUCCCACGGUUUAUGUUCUAGGGGGCGCCAAAGAUAACCCAAAAAUCCACAUUCUUAAAAGUCUUAUAACUUUUUAUUUUUGUCCUCAC